UGGGGUCCGCGGCUGCGCAUUCGCCUGAGAAAUGGAGUCUCCCGCCAGGCAAGGCUGGAGGCCGCUCCGUGGCCAGGAAAGCUGUAGCCCGGCCGGGGGCUGGGAACGGUGGGGGGUGGGAGAAGAGGGGACGAGGGACAGCGUACCACUGGCAGCCCCCGGCGUCCUGCGGCCCAGGCAUUCUCAGGCGGCUUUUGUCCCACGGGGAGGAGCUACGACUCUCGCCUCCGGAGCUACCCUUUAGCGAAUGGAAGGAGGGAGACCGACCCAAGACGCCGGUGGGGAGUCCUGGGAGAGGCGGCUUUGGGGCCUGGCCACAGGAGCAGCGUUCCCAGUAAGGGGCCCAUUCGCCCAGGCCACCGCCGCGAGGCUACGGUCGGCAAGAGGCCACGUUUAGGGGCACCUAGACUGCAAAUGUAUACAACCACCCUGAUGAGGUCGCUGAAGCUGCUGAGGCUCAGACGUGAAAUCACUCUGUCGCGUCACACGACCAGGGAGCUGCCUCUGCCCGCCUUGAUACUGCAUUUUUUAUACAAAUUGAAUGUGGCUUCCCUGCAUGGAGCAAGUUCAUCAACAACACUUCCAAAAGCAUGGGCUCACUUCGUGUCUCUGUAUCACCUUUUGGUGGUUCUCACAACACGUCAAACUUUUUCAUUAUUAUAUCUAUUAUAGUAAUCGGUGAUCAGUGAUCUUUGAUGCCCUCCCCUGUCUCUCUCCCUCUUGCCCCCUUCCACUCCGCCAUACCUUGCCUUAUGCAUCUCUUCCAUUUGGCUGUUCUGAGUUGUAUCAUUCUAAUAAACCAGUAAAUGUAA